AGAGUUUGAUCCUGGCUCAGAUUGAACGCUGGCGGCAUGCCUUACACAUGCAAGUCGAACGGUAACAGCACUUCGGUGGCUGACGAGUGGCGAACGGGUGAGUAAUACAUCGGAACGUGCCCGAGAGUGGGGGAUAACGCAGCGAAAGCUGUGCUAAUACCGCAUACGAUCUACGGAUGAAAGCAGGGGACCGCAAGGCCUUGCGCUCAUGGAGCGGCCGAUGGCAGAUUAGGUAGUUGGUGGGAUAAAAGCUUACCAAGCCGACGAUCUGUAGCUGGUCUGAGAGGACGACCAGCCACACUGGGACUGAGACACGGCCCAGACUCCUACGGGAGGCAGCAGUGGGGAAUUUUGGACAAUGGGCGAAAGCCUGAUCCAGCCAUGCCGCGUGCAGGAUGAAGGCCUUCGGGUU
rnacentral:rRNA from 1 species